UGGCCUCAAAUAUUGUGUGACUACCCCCUAACAUUUAUGAAGGGGAGGAAAAGAAACUAACAAGGAUUCCCCGAGUAGCUGCGAGCGAAAAGGGAUGAGCUCAGCACGUAGGGGUGAUGCACUUGUGUGUCUACCCGGUUCCGUGUACUGGAAAAUUUGUCAUCUGCCAUGCCCAGCGUAAGGUCCAAGUUCAACUAGAAUGUGGCUUUUACUCCCAUAGAGGGUGAUAGGCCCGUAGGACGGCGCUGAUGGUGGAAAAUUUUUCCAUGGAGUCGUGUUGCUUGAUAGUGCAGCACAAAGUGGGAGGUAAACUCCUUCUAAAGCUAAAUAUCACCACGAGACCGAUAGCGAACAAGUACCGUGAGGGAAAGUUGAAAAGCACUCUGAAUAGAGAGUCAAAAAGUACGUGAAACUGCCUAGGGUCAAGCCCGUUGAACUCGAUUAUCCAAAGCGGAGAUAUGCCAAUGUGGCUGGCCUUCACUGGUCUGCUGAAGGGUAUUUAUCUUCUGCUUUACGAGGACGUUGCGAUCCAUUACGAAACCGCUAGUCAAGAAAACGACUACAGGUCCGGCAAUUGCCCCUUGGCAUCUGGUUGUUAGUCCCACAGUAGCGACGCUCAGGUCGAAAGACGAACAUCGUAACCUGGCACUUACCGUUGCGUGGUGUGCAGCCGGACGCGUGAUGGAUUUCCACGCAGACCGUCACUCCCAGUGACGGCUGAGGCAACGAUAAUAUCGAGGUACCUUCGGGACCCGUCUUGAAACACGGACCAAGAAGUCUAUCUUGCGCGCGAGCCAAUGGUACUCAGUUGAAACACCAAAGGCGCAAAAAAACAUAACUUGAAACUUGUGCGGGAUUACGGAUGAGACUCUCUGCUCGUCCCUCCAUCCCCGGUUGUUAUACCAGGCACUCGAUGCCAUAACUACCGCGAGUGCGUUGGAUGUGACCCGAAAGAUGGUGAACUAUGCCUAAUCUGUUUGAUGUGCACUUUGGGCAUAGCGGCGAAAGACCAAUCGAACCAUCUAGUAGCUGGUUCCCUCCGAAGUUUCCCUCAGGAAAGCUGGAGCAUGCAACAUUUCGGAUUCUAUUCUUAUCUGGUAAAGCGAAUGAUAAGAGGCCUUAGGUCCGAAAUGAUCUUGACCUAUUUUCAAACUUUAAAUGGGUACGUACUUGCAUGAUGUCAUUGCAACCGUUCGAACGUCGGGCCGCCCCUUGCCUGGGCGUGCCGGUCGACGUACAAGAUAUCUGUGUGCUUAGUGGGCCAAGUUUUGGUAAGCAGAACUGGUGCUGUGGGAUGAACCAAACGUGAUGUUACGGCGCCUAAAUAAACGACGCAUCAUAGAUACCAUGAAAGGUGUUGAUUGCUACAGACAGCAGGACGGUGGACAUGGAAGUUGUCAUCCGCUAAGGAGUGUGUAACAACUCACCUGCCGAAGCAAUUAGCCCUUAAAAUGGAUGGCGCUCUAGUCGUUUGCCUAUACAUUACCGCUGGCGUACAAGUGGUGCGACGGGCCCAAGCUCCGUCCGCACUUUGAGACGUCAGCGAGUAGGAGGGUCUGGUGGUGUGCGUUGAAGUGCAUGGCGUAAGCCGUCAUGGAGCCGCCACUAGCACAGAUCUUGGUGGUAGUAGCAAAUAUUCGAAUGAGAUCUUGGAUGACUGAAGUGGAGGAGGGUUUCGUUUCAACAGCAGUUGAACACGAGUUAGCCAAUCCUUAGCUCUAUGGGAAACCUGAGCGGAAGGCAAUCCGGUUAAAUUUCCGGAGCCUGUUGAGUAUAUGUUUGCAUUGGCGUUAAUACCGCCCUUUUUAACAUGGCAACAUGUAUCCUUUUCUUCGAGAAGCCAAUAAUAGAUAUCGGAAGAGGUUUCUUUUCUGUUUUACAGUUACACCGGCCAUGGAAGUCUUUCGCAGAGAGAUAUGGUUGGAUAAGCUGGUAGAGCAUGGUAUCAAAUUGCUGUGUCGAUAUCCUGUUAUUGGACCAUGAAAAUCGAAGAUAGGGGCCGCAAACUCUCAACAGCUUGUACCGAAUCAACAGCAGGUCUCCAAGGUUG
rnacentral:ncRNA from 1 species